UGAGCCACUGUGUGACCAGGAGUGCGAAUUGUUGUUCUGGAAUAGGGUGCCUGUGCAGGUGCUGAAACAGCCAGGCCGACGUCUGUGGGCAUCUGACUGAGCAAUGGUGUGGUGCAUGCGCUCACCAUCCUGAGGCUCGUCAGUGUGACAGGCUGGAGCUGUAGAAGAUAGAGAUGACUCAUGACUGGCGCUUUAUGUAAAUGAAGAACAUCUUCUGUUGCUUCCUGUUGUACCAACGAGGCCACGUAAAGUUCACGUCAGUGACAUUGCGUUCCCAUGUCCCCUGUGUUGUUGGGGUGGGGAUGUGGGGUGAGAUCAGUGUGGUUCCCCCAGAGAGGACAUUAGGUCAAAACCAACAGUGAAUGUGAACGUGAAACCUCUGGAACACCAGGCUGAAGAAUCCUUCCCAGCGGCGAAGUGUAGAGAAAGUUUACUGUUGCCCUUUGCUGUCAGUUGCAAAAGUGAUUGAGCCACUGACUGUAAACUUUGAAGGGGAGCCACAUAAGGAGGAAGUGAAGAAUUUCAGCACAUUGCUCUCUCCUUGGGAUUUAGUCAUUUUUAGUAAGAUGUGUGGGUCAUCUAUGUGUGACAUAGCUAAUCAUCUCAUUUAGCUUAUCCAAAGCAUGAAAAAACAUACCCUUCUGCUGAGCGACAUGAUGUUGCAUGGCCCCUCCCAGCAGCCUCACAUAGGCAGCUAUCCCGUGCAAGAGCGAUGAGGAGGAGUGAAAGCCCUAACGAGCAGUGCAGUGGAACUGUGUCUAUCCAAAGGCACAGAUAAUAUUAGUC
rnacentral:lncRNA from 1 species